CGACGCUACAUGUUUGUACGUCAGAUCAGUUCAUUUCGAACUUCUGUGCGAGCUGCUCCCUUUCUCCAAACCCACUCCCCCUCUCUCUCAAAGACACACACACACACACACACACACACUCUGCCCACUUCAGCGUCGCUGCAGUGCUUUCGUUUUCCGUCUCUUGGUUUGUAAAUUCGUCAAUCAUGGAUGAGGGACUGCCAAUCGACGCGAGCGAGGCACAGCUCGAAGCUAUCCGGAGGGAGGUGGCGCACUACCCGUUACUGUCGCUCUCGCUGCCGCUCAACAAGGAGUCGAUGAUUGUGAAGGAGAUGGAGCACGACGACGCCUACCUUGCCCAAACGCUGUCGCUCUUUGGGGCCUCACCGGUUUCCACAAAGCAGUACGACUUCGACAGCAUACGCUACUCGCGCCGCGACGGCAACUGCUUCUACCGCUGCGCCGGCUUUCGCCUGUGCGAGCUCAUCGUCGAACACCCGGAUAGGGCGGCGGAGUAUGUGGCGCUGCUCAAAUCGCGAGAGGAGAGCCUCUCCAGGUUGUUCGGCCUCUUCGUGUUCGAUUUCACGGAUGCCUUGGCGGAGAUCCUGAAGGGUGUGGCAGACAAGACGAUCACUUCCGUCGCACAAGUCUACAAUCGCUUCAUCUCCGACGACGGCGCCUACGUUCUGGCGGCGCUACGCUACUUGAUCUCCGCUUACCUGCAAGAGCACGAGGAGGAGUACGAGCCUUUCGUCAGCGGACUUGGCUACGGCACGGUGCGCGACUACUGCAACGCCGAGGUGGAGCUGGUGGAUCACGAGAGCGACAAUGUGCAGCUGGCCGCCUUUGCAAAGGCCUUCAACGUCUGCAUCAAGGUCUACGCGCUGGACCGAAAUGCAGGUAACAAUAUCACCGAGUACUCCUUCAACGGCGAGGACAACGACGCUGGAGACCGACUGGUGGUGGGCCUGCUUUACAUGCCCGGCCACUACAACCUUCUCGGGCGGGGACCCGGGUGACAGCAGAGGCAGCAGAUGUGAGCGGAUGCAGUCAGUCAGAGGUGAAGAAGGCGGCGGUUGUCGGCACGCUUUCGUUUCGUGCCGGCAUGCAUCUCGAUGAACACGCAUCGAGAUAUCUGCACUGCGUUCGCCGCACAGCUCGUACCUGCCAAGGUUGCUUGCGUUUGCCGACGUGUAAGUGUGUGCACUGGGUGCUCAGUGCACGACUAUUCUGCACUAUGUGUUCUCGUUGCCGUAUUGGCUCCGCAACUGGCGCUUAUAGUCCACGUACGCAUGUGACGCGAAGC
rnacentral:misc_RNA from 1 species